UACGUAGGUUGCAAGCGUUGUCCGGAAUUAUUGGGCGUAAAGCGCGCGCAGGCGGUCUCUUAAGUCUGAUGUGAAAGACCACGGCUCAACCGUGGAGGGUCAUUGGAAACUGGGAGUCUUGAGUACAGAAGAGGAGGGUGGAAUUCCACGUGUAGCAGUGAAAUGCGUAGAUAUGUGGAGGAACACCAGUGGCGAAGGCGACUCUCUGGUCGUUAACUGACGCUGAGGCGCGAAAGCGUGGGGAGCAAACAGG
rnacentral:misc_RNA from 1 species